rnacentral:misc_RNA from 1 species
GAUGAAGAACGUAGCGAAAUGCGAUAAGUAAUGUGAAUUGCAGAAUUCAGUGAAUCAUCGAAUCUUUGAACGCACAUUGCGCCCCUUGGUAUUCCGAGGGGCAUGCCUGUUCGAGCGUCAUUAUAACCCCUCAAGCUCAGCUUGGUGUUGGGGCCUGCUGCACUGGCAGCCCUUAAAAUCAGUGGCGGCGCCAUCUGGCUCUAAGCGUAGUAAUUCUUCUCGCUAUGGAGUCCUGGUGGAUGCUUGCCAUCAACCCCCAAUUUUUCUAUGGUUGCCCUCGGAGCAGGUAGGGAUACCCGCUGAACUUAAGCAUAUCAAUAAGCGGAGGA